UUUCAUUGUCCAUGAUGCUGCUCAUUAAUUCCUUCAAUUUUCACAGCCGGAUUUUAAACAGAUCAGCAGCUUUGCUGAGGUAUUUUUAAACAGGAACAAAAAUAGAUCUACGGUGAAGUGGCGAAUGAAUUUCAUGCUUCUUGGAGCGGUGUCAGUCACAAGAAACGCUUGCAGGAAUAUCUGAGGUCCGCCAGCACAGAAUACUGGCCUUAUACUCUACAUCCCUUCCUGCCGCCCAUCCCAUCGCUGCCUUGAUUCGCAUGGGGAAGUUAUUGACAAGAGCACAGAGGGAUGUGGAGCUCAUCUGAAGUAGUAAGAGCUUCACGUUAAACUUCUCUGGCAUCCUGGAUAUUAUCGAGAGGACUCGCAGCGCAGAACUUGGUGGCAACUCCUACCAAGAACAAAGGACGGAUGUGAGGGCUCUGAUGGCAGAUAAGGAGUUUGUUAGAUGAAUGUGUGAGCAGGUGACACAUCAUCUGGGGACUAGUGACCCACGUCCUGCUUACAGAGGAAUCUAAGCAUUACGCACAUCUGAAUCUGUUCCUCGGAGACUUGCAGUCAGAGUGGGUGGAACAGUGAUGGAACAGUCCUUACAGAUGACACUGCAGUUGUGACCCGCUGGGCUGGCUACAUUGAGCAGUUGUUUAAAGUUGACCCUCCAGCUGCCUGUCUUACUGUAUGGCUGUGAGACAUGGACAAUAUCCAGUGAGCUGAAAUGAAGACUGGACUCCUUCGGUACUGUGUCUCUACCGUGUGCUGGGCGCUGCAACCUAACCUGUUUUUGCGUUUUCAUCUCACAUUUGUCCAUGUUCUUGUACGUGUUUAUAGAUUUUUAAUGUUGCGUCGUAUUAGCAUGAUUGUGCAUGGUUGUCCCUAAUGUUUGUGCGUAGCACAGAGAAAUAUGUGCAACAGUGCAUUUUCAAAAUCCAGUGCAACGCAGCGUACUAGUGGAAUCAUCAUAAAUUGCUUUCUGUGAAAUAUAUAAUGUUCUAGCAAAUCACAGAAUGUGUGCGUUGAUGCAAAGCGCAAGGCAAUGCGCAGUGGGAACAAGCCCUUAGUAAUAAUUACUCAGUUACUAGUUAAGUACAAAUUGUAAAUAAAUGUCGUAGCCACUUGAGAUAAAAGAUAUGCAUCAUCAUUCAUUAAACAAACAUGAGAUCAUUAUUUCACUUGCAUUAGGCCUAUUCAUUAUUUGUUCCUUCAGUAGUUCCUUCAGUAGUUCACAAAAGAUUAAAGAAUUAACAGAUAUAAUAACAAAUAUACUAAUUGCUUGAGAUAAAAGACGUCACGAUUCAUUAAUGAUGAAGGAACAUGAGAUUUGUAUGUACCUAAGACUUAGUUGGUGUUUAGUUAAUGCAUUAAAGUAAUAACAUAAUACUACCUUAUUCGUGUCCAGUCAAGUAAAGUGUUACCAAAAAAAUAUAUAUUACUCAAAAGAAGGAAAUCCUUCAGAGCUCACAAUGUGGACUACGGUGAUUAACAGUAAGAUGUCAACAAAUGCAGGGGUUUAACCUUAAGAAUAAACAGUAAAU